GCCUGUAUAGCUCAGUUGGUAGAGCGUGCCCUUCGUACUCGGAGUCUCUCCGUUGUCAAGUGAGGGUAAGGUCGGCAGUUCGAUCCUGUCUGGAGGCA